rnacentral:lncRNA from 1 species
UUUUUUUUUUUUUUUUUUUUUUAAUUUCUUUCUUUUAGGGCUGCACUGCAUGUAGCAUAUGAAAGUUCCCAGGCUAGGGGUCCAAUCAGAGCUGGGGCUGCUGGCCCAUGCCACAGUCACAGCAAUGCCAGAUCAGAGCCACAUCUGAGACCUACACCGUACCUUGCAACAACAUCGGAUCCUUAACCCACUGAGCAAGGCCAGGGAUCAAACUGGCAUCCUCAUGGAGACUAGUCAGGUUCUUAACCCUCUGAGCCACAACAGGAACUCCAAGGAUAUCUUUUAAAAUUGAGUACUGCAAAUAUCUAAUUUCUCUGAAAUAAUACUAAGGAAUUCUAUGGAUAAACAACAAGGUCCUCUGUAUAGCAUGGGAACUAUAUUCAAUGUCCUAUGAUAAACCUAAUGGAAAAAAAUAUUUAAAAAAUGUUUUUACGUAUGUAACUAAAUCACUUCACAGCACAGCAGAAAUUAACACAUUGUAAAUCAACUAUUCAAUUAAAAAAUUCGAACAAAACUGUUCCAUGUAAAUACACAGGCAUAGGGUCUAAGUUUAGGAGUACAAAUGUAAUACUUAUUAAAAAUGCAACUUAAUACUACAAAUGGUCAAAAGAAAGGAUACCUCAGGAGAGAGAGUACCCGAGGAAACAGGUAGGAUAAGAAAUAAGGUAGAAGGAGUUCCUGUCAUGGCUCUUUUUUUCUUGAUAAGUCAGGAUAAGGGUUUAUCAAUUUUGUUGAUGUUUUCAAAGAACCAGCUUUUAGUUUCAUUCAUCUUUUCUAUGCUUUUCUUCAUUUCUAUUUCAUUUAUUUCUGCUCUGAUCUCUAUACUACAAAGCGACAGUCAUCAAAACCAUAUGGUAUUGGCACAAAGAGAGAAAUACAGAUUAGUGGAACAGGAUAGAAAACCCAGAAUUAAACUCACGCACCUACCGUGAACUGAUCUAUGACAAAGGAGGCAAGAAUAUACAAUGGAGAAAGGACAGCUUGUUCAAUAAGUGGUUCUAGGAAAACUGUACAGCCACAUGGAAAAGAAUGAAAUUAGUACACUCCCGAACACCAUACACAAAAAUAAACUCAAAAUGGAUUAAGGACCUAGAUAUAAGACCAGAUACUAUAUAAAACCCUUAGAGGAAAACAUAGGCCAAACACUCUCUUACAUAAAUGACAGCAACGUCUUCUCAGAUCCACCUAUCAGAGUAUUGACAACAAAAACAAACAAAAAAAUGGGACCUACUCAAACUUCAAAGUUUCUGCACAGCAAAGGAAACCCUAAACAAAACAAAAACACAACCCACAGAAUGGGAGAAAAUCUUUGCAAGUGAAUCAAGUGACAAGGGAUUAAUCUCCAAAAUCUAUAAACACCUUCUGCAGCUCCAUACCAAAAAAAAACAACUAACCCCAUCAAAAAAUGGGCAGACGAUCUAAACACAUGAUUCUCCAAAGAACACAUACGGAUAGCCAAAAAACACAUGAAAAGAUGUUUAACAUCACUCAUUAUUAGAAAAACGCAAAUCAAAAUCACUCUGAGGUACCACCUUGCACCAGCCAGAAUGGCCAUCUUCAAAAAGUCUACAAACAAUAAGUGCUGGAGAGGGUGUGGAGAAAAAGGAACCUUAUUACACUGUUGGUGGGAUUGUAAAUUGGUGCAACCACUGUGGAAAACAGUGUGGGGAUUCCUCAGAAAACUAAAAAUAGAACUACCAUUUGAUCCAGCAAUCCCACUCCUGGGCAUCUAUCCAGAGAAAACCAUGACUUGAAAAGACACAUGUACCUCCAAUGUUCGCUGCAGCACUAUUUUCAAUAGCCAAGACAUGGAAACAACCUAAAUGUCCAUCAACAGAGGAGUGGACAAAGAACAUGUGGUACAUACACAAAAUGGGAUAUUACCCAGCCAUUAAAAGGAAUAAAAUAGCAGCAUUUUUAGCAAAUGGAUGGACCUAGAAAUUAUCAUGCUAAGUGAAGUCAGUCAUACAAUGAGACAUCAAAUGCUUUCACUGACAUGUGGAAUCUGAAAAAAGGUCACAAUGAACUUCUUUGCAGAACAGAUGCUGACUCACAGACUUUGAAAAACUUAUGGUUUCCAAAGGAGAUAGUUUGGGGUGUGGGGGAUGGGCUGGGGGUGUGGGAUGGAAAUGCUAUAAAAUUGGAUUGUGAUGAUUCAUUGAGUAAUUAAAAAUAAAUAAAUAAAAUAAUAAAUAAAACAAAUAAAAUCUGUGCAUUAUCAGUAUUUCCUGAUUUUGAUAAUUAUGCUGUGGUUUUAUAAGACCAUCCCUUAAUCUUUGGGAAAUACACAUUAGUGGAGUUCCUGGUGGGGCUUAGCAGGUUAAGAAUCCAACUAGUAUGCAUGAGGAUGCAGGUUCAAUCCCUGGCCUUGCUCAGUGGGUUAAAGGAUCCUGCGUUACUGCAAACUGUGAUGUAGGUCGCAGAUACAGCUCCGAUGUGGCGUUGCUGAGGCUAUGGCAUAGGCCUACAGCUUCAGGUACAAUUCGACCCCUGGCUUGGGAACUUACAUAUGCCAUGGGUAUGACCCUAAAAUAUAUAUAUAUAUUUUUUAAGUAUACACAAGCAAUAUUUAAAGAUAAAGGACCAGCAUUUCUGCUGCCCUCACAUAGUUAAGAAACACAAGGGAGAGAGAAAGGGAUUAAAAAAAUGUAAUAAAAUGUUAACAUCUGAGAAAUCUGGUUGAAGGGUAGAAGGUAUUCUUUGCAUUCUUUCACCACUUUUAAGUCUAAAAUCUUAUCAAAAUAAAAAUGAGAAAUAUAUCCUAUUUUGUUGAACUUUUUUUUGCUAACUCUUUGGUAACUCAGGACUCGUUAACCAAACAUCAAGAACAUACAUAAGGAGUUCCCGUCAUGGCGCGGUGGUUAACGAAUGCGACUAGGAACCAUGAGCCACGACGGGAACUCCUGAAAUAACUUUUCAAGACACAUGACAUUCUGAAUAAUUUCUGAAAUAAACCCAAAUGUUUAUGUAAAUUUCCACCAACGGGGGGCUUAUAAAUAAAUUUGGCAUAUUUAUACAAGGGAAUACCCUGGUAUUAUAAGAAUGAGGAAGUUCUUUAGUGCUGAUAUGAUCUACAAGAUAUACUACUAAAUGGAAAAAAGCAAAAUACAGACACAUCCUAUACAAAAAUUAACUCAAAAUCUACCACUGACUUAAAUAGAAUUAAAACUAUAAAAUUCUUAGAAGACAACACAGCAAAUUCGUGAUCUUGUAUUAGGCAAUGGUUUCUCAUCAAAAGCAUGAGCAACAAAAGAACCAAAAGAUAACCUGGUAUUAAUCAAAAUUAAAAGCCUUUACACCUCAAAGGAUACCACCAAGAAAGCCAACCCACACGGCGGAAGAAAAUAUUUGCAAAUCAUGUAUCUGUUAAGGGACUUAUAUCCAAAAUACAUAAAUAACACUUGUAAUUCAACAAUAAAAAGACAAGUAUGUGAAUUUAAAAAUGAGAAAAGGGGAGUUUCCAUCAUGGCUCAGCGGAAACGAAUCUGACUAGUAACCAUGAAGACAAAGAUUUGAUCCCUGGCCUCACUCGGUGGGUUAAGGAUUCGGCAUUGCUAUGGCUGUGGUAUAGGUCAAUGGCUACAGCUCCAAUCCAACUCCUAGCCUGGGAGUCUCCAUAUGCCACAGGUGCAGCCCUAAAAAGUCAAAAAAAAAAAGAAAGAGAGAGAGAGAAAAGGACUUGAAUGGAUAUUUUUCCAAAAAGAUAUACAAAUGACCAAUAAGCAAAUGAAAAGAUGCUUGAACAUACUAAUCAUUAGGGAACUGCACGAUACUACUUCACACCUAUUAGGAUGGCAGUUCAAAAACACUGUAACAGAAGUUCCCAUGUGGCUCAGCCCCGUAAUGAGCCCGAGUGGUAUCCAUGAGGAUGCAGGUUUGAUUCUUGGCUUCACUAGGUGGGCUGGGGAUCCAGCGUUACUGUGGCUGUGGCCAGCAGCUGCAGCUCCAAUUCAACACCUAGCCAGAGAACUUCCAUGUGCUGCUGGUGUGUGGCCCUAAAAUGCAAAAAAACCAAAAAUAAACGAAAACCACCACCACCAACAACAAAAAACACAGUAACAAGCAUUGGUGAGGAUGUGGAGAUAUGCUAACUCUACAUUGCUGGUGGGAAUGUAAAAGAGUGCAGCCCUUUGGAAAACAGAUUUGCAGUUCCUCAUAUGGUUAAACCUAAGAUUACACCACAUGACUUAGCAGUUCUACUCCCAAAUAUGUAUCUAAGAGAACUGAAAAUAUGUCUAUCAACUGAUGAAUAGGUAAACAAAGUGUGGCAUAUCCACACAAUGGAAUAUUUUUCAGCCAUAAAAGAAAAUAUUGAUACAUGCUGUAUCAUAGAUGUGACAACACAAAACUCUAUGCAAAACAAUACACCUAGGGGCUCGAGAGGGUAACAGGGCUAAAAUUAGCCUAAAGUAAUGGGAAAAAAUCAGUAGUUUUCUUUCCUAUACUGUUUAAUUCUGGUUCCAUUAACUUUUCACUUUUGGUCUUCUAACUCUUUAUAUCUUAGUGGCUCUUUGAUGAAAUUUUUUGUACCUCUUUUAUUUGGAAACCCAAACCAAACAAAUUUCUCCUAUAAUGGAUCAGAUCUACAAACUUUUUUUCUGAGGAAGAAGUAGGAAAAAAAAAAAUUUUUUUUAAAAAAAGUUCUGGGAGUUCUGCUGUGGCCCAGCAGGUUAAGAAUCUGACUUGAGUGGCUCAAGUUGCUGUGGAGGUAUGGUUUGCUUCCCACCCUGGCACAGUAGGUUAAAGGAUCCAGUGUUGCUGCAGCUGUGGCAUAGGCUGCAGUUGUGGCUCAGAUUCAACUCCUGGCCCAGGAACUUCAUAUGCCAUGGGUAUGGCCAUAAAAUAAAAUAAAAUAAAAAUUCUGAUAAAACCUCCCUCUGCCAGACAUUAUACCUUAAAGGAAAUGAAGAAUAAUACAUUGGAGUUCUCGUUGUGGCACAGUGGUUAAUGAAUCCGACUAGAAACCAUGAGGUUGCGGGUUCCAUCCCUGCCCUUGCUCAGUGGGUUAACGACCGGCAUUGCCAUGACCUGUGGUGUAGGCUGCAGAUGCGGCUCAAAUCCCGAGUUGCUGUGGCUCUGGCGUAGGCUGGCAGCUACAACUCAGAUUCGAUUCCUAGCCUGGGAACCUCCAUAUGCCAUGGGAGUGGCCCAAGAAAUGGCAAAAAGACAAAAAAAAAAAGAAAGAAAAAAGAAUAAUACAUAACCCUUAUAAAUCAAGGGUUUAAUUAAGGGAAUAAAGGACGCUUAGAAAAAAGCCAAAAACAGCUUAGUAACACUAUAUCCU